rnacentral:tRNA from 1 species
GGUAAAGUGGCUGACUUAAAGUGAUAAUCUGUAAAAUUAUUUAUGUAAAUAUUUUACCUUUACCA